rnacentral:sRNA from 1 species
UUGAUAGCUUUUGGGACAGAAAUCCUCUAUUUAUCCUCAGAAUCAGUUCAGCACUGGUUGGAGCAGUUCAAUCUUCUUAGCACUGUCCCACCAAACACUGACCUGGAGGAACUACCUUUAAAAGGUAAGAGGAUAAAUCAGUCUCCAUGUCCAUUCAAUCUUUGGCCUCU